rnacentral:rRNA from 1 species
UACGAAGGGGGCUAGCGUUGCUCGGAAUCACUGGGCGUAAAGGGUGCGUAGGCGGGUCUUUAAGUCAGGGGUGAAAUCCUGGAGCUCAACUCCAGAACUGCCUUUGAUACUGAAGAUCUUGAGUUCGGGAGAGGUGAGUGGAACUGCGAGUGUAGAGGUGAAAUUCGUAGAUAUUCGCAAGAACACCAGUGGCGAAGGCGGCUCACUGGCCCGAUACUGACGCUGAGGCACGAAGGCUAGGGGAGCGAACGGG